rnacentral:misc_RNA from 1 species
CAGAAUUUUAUAUGCAAGUUUGAAAAACAGGAACAUAGCAACAGCAACUCUAAACCAAACCCAAUUUUUUUUUAGAGUUUUAGGGCAUGGCCAAACCGCCAAAGACCAAAACCCAAAGUUUUAUGCAAAGGGAAAAAUUUUCUGGCUAUGCAGUUUUCAAGUUUCAACAUUUUCUCUAGCACUACGUUUGGACAAGAGCAUUUGCAAGAGUGGUAUCCUACAGUGCAGAGAUAUUCAAGUUAUACAGCUGACAACAAUUACCACCUUACAACUCCAAGAGCCUACAGCUCCUAUAAAAAAGCAGUACAAUGCAGGGAUAAAGUGUCCAGGUCACGAAGAAUUUUACAAACCAAACAAUUUCAAGUGUCUAUACAAUGUACAUUUCACUAUUUCAGUAGAUGUAACAGCACUCAACAUAAGCAAUACUAUCAGAAGACAAAAUUUAUGUAACAUAAGUUCAAAGAUGGCAUUGUUCCAUGCAUUUAUUGAUGGGAAACAGAGUACUUGCUGUAUUUGACCAGUUGCCACUGGUAGUGGGCUAGUGGCAAAUGUAAGACAGGUGAGAGAGAGAGAAAGAUUAGAUGGGUCAUGCUAGUAGUGGCAAAAAGCUAAUACAUGCCCCAUAACUAGCAUUACAACAAGCUACUUACAUUCAAAUUUCAAACCAGGUUUGAGAAAUCUGCCAGAAGAGUUUUAAAAUGUGAUGAGUAGUAGCAGGCUGGUUGCGUCGGAACAGAUUAUGCAUACUCGCGAAACUAGAAUGCUGAUCAUGCCAUAUAGAUUGUUGCAGAACCAAAUUACAAAUCCAUUGCCCUAAGGAUCACAUUACAAAUUCACAAACCUUGUCAGACUCGAGCUCACGCUC